UACGGGGGGGGCAAGCGUUGUUCGGAAUUACUGGGCGUAAAGGGCUCGUAGGUGGCCAACUAAGUCAGACGUGAAAUCCCUCGGCUUAACCGGGGAACUGCGUCUGAUACUGGAUGGCUUGAGUUCGGGAGAGGGAUGCGGAAUUCCAGGUGUAGCGGUGAAAUGCGUAGAUAUCAGGAGGAACACCAGCGGCGAAGGCGGCGCUCUGGGCCGGUACUGACACUGAGGAGCGAAAGCGUGGGUAGCAAACAGG
rnacentral:rRNA from 1 species